rnacentral:lncRNA from 1 species
UUAGUUCAUGACAUUGUUGUAAGUUGUAACAGAAUUUUUAUGACAAAGUUCUAGAGUUCAAUUCUCACUACCCUUCAUUAUUCGAAUACAAAGUUGAAUUUCAGCAAACACCUUUCUCAAUUGUAAUAUAUUAAUAUUACUAGAUGUCCUUUCUGAAUGUCCUUUGUUUUUGUGUAGUAUAACACUAUAACUGUAUAAGUAACAGAUUUCUAGUGAGAUUGAGUACAGUGAAGUUGAAAGUUUCAGCUCAAGAGCAUCUCAAUUUUGUCAACGGUGAAUCAUGACAGUGGAGCUUUGGUCUAUAGAUCAAACCACUUGGAUUCUUGCAAGUUUCUUUUCCUGUUCAGCUGUAUUAUCUGGCUGGCUUUUACAAUCACUCCACUUUACUAAACAGGAUCCUUUACAGCAAUAAGUCUGUCUGAAACUCAGUAUCAUAAUGAUAAGGAGAUGCAAUCAGAGGAAGCAGAUCACAUGGAACAGAAAUCAUCACAAGGAUCUAAAUAGCUAUUUUCUUGGAUAACUGUUCUUCUAGCUAUCUGACUCUCUCUUUGGAUUUUAUUGCUAUUUCUGUUUGAAAUUUUUUAUAUUGGGCUAAACAAAAGGCAUGUCCAAUCUCCUAACCCACUUGCCCAUGGCAAUGAUCAUGGGCCAGAGAACUUCACAAAAUUGCAUUAAUGUAUUUAACUUUACAUAUCACCUACAUCUAUGAUCUAUCCAAAGUAUAUAUCUAACUUUUGUGUUCAUGUAAAGGCUUUGUUGGCUCAACAACAGUCCUUAAAUCCCCUGUGUGGUGGUUAAUUUACUAGGAUACAAAUCUAUAUACUUCAUACAUACUUGGUUUCAGAUAGAGUGAAUCAAUUUUGAAUCCACAAAUAUCAUGACUCAGACACAACAUACCCCAACUACAUACAUAAUUACAAAAGUUGUAUUCCAGUUAAGAAGAAACUCGUGAACAUACAAAGCACACACAGAUUUGAGAUACAAAAGCUGAAUAAUAAAUGAAAAGCUUCUUCCAUUUCCAAUUGCCAUGCUUAUUAUUAACUUUUCUCUUUACACCACCCCUUAAAGCCAUCUAUCCAACCCCACCACCACUCCACCAGCAACCAUCUAAUCAAUGCGAAAAGAACUGCCCACCAUUAAAUUUGGUCCCUUUCAUGGCUUGAACCCGCUAACAUGUCUGGUUUAACGAUUUGCACAUAAUUCAAGCCACAUUUACUCAUAAGUCAUCAACAUAUUUAGAAAUGCAUUGAGAAAUCACAUUUAAAUUCCACAUCAAUUAUAACAAUGAGUCAUGUGAGUAGUCUAUGCAUUAGAGUUGAUUCUAAAUAAAAAGAAGUUGAUCCAUACAUGUAUUAAGACAUGUAAAUUCUAAUUAGAAGUCAUUCACUGUCUAACUAAGCAUGCUAUUAUUCAAAGAAAAAAGAUAACCACAUUAUUAUUAUCAACCCUUACAUUUUAUGUAUGGCUCUUAUACAUAAUACAAUUCCCAUUCCUCAGGUACAACGGCAUUACCUCAUGUAUGGCCUUCCACUUUAAGCAUGCCAAAGAUCAUUAUAUCAUGGGCUGCUUAAUAAUCAUUGUGAGUUUGUGACUUAUUCUUCUGCAUCACAUGUUUAUAAUUAACUUCCACUAUUUAAUUUGAUGCACUUCAUGAUUGUAUAAGAUAUAAGAAGUCAC